GGCAACGCAUGCGCACACGAAGUUCUUUGUCACAUUUGAACUGAACGGUCUCCCUUUCUCUCUUUCUAGUUUCUGCAUCUAUACAUAUACAUAUACAUAUAUACAUAUACAUAUACAUAUACAUAGCGAUAAACAUACAGAAAUCAGAAAAAUGAAGCGUUCCGGUGACGAUAUUUGGGCGCACGACGACCUGGAAUUCCGAUCAACAGUGGACGACGCUUGGUACAGCGUCCGAGUGGUUCUCGAAAGCGAGUCUUUCACAGUCAAAUUUGUGGACUUCACCGAAGCGAUGAACGAGAGAUUCAAUGCCGGCGAUUUCCAGACCCUCCAAGCCGUCGACGACUUUGUUCGGCGGUUUCGACCUGUUUCGACUCAGUCACAGGACAGCCAGUGCUCCAAAAUCGUCCAAGGCUUGUCGGUCUGCUCCUCAUUUGAAUUCAAAUGCGACGACGUUCGCUUCUACGACGCCGUCGUCGAAGCGGUGCACUAUGAGGAGCAUUCAUUUGCGAAAGAAGAGGAGUGUAUGUGCACCUUUGUGCUAUGCUGGCAACAUGGUCCAAAUUUGGGUAAUCUGUCAUUGGCGAAAAUUGCUAAUAUAUGCAUAAUCCAAUCUGCUGGUCAACCUGAUUUCAGAGUGGCAUCCUUUGCAAAGAUGGCAAAGGAGAAACUUGAAAUUUCAUCUCAUAAAUCUGGUGCAAUUUAUGAAGGUGGCUUUUCAUUGGGUAAUAAAUCUAAUUAUGGUACACGAAAAAAGACUAGCCUAGGGCACGAGGCUCCGGCCACUGCAGGGUCUGGGAAGGGUUUGUCUCGCCAUGGGCUGCAGAAAACAGAGAGUGCUAGGCAGUUUGGUAGUGCAGUAAGAACAACUGAAGGGUGGUUAAGGACUGAUCAAGAUCGAGACCUUGGUGGGGAAUCUGUAAACAUGAAUGGCACUGAGGAAACUUGCUGUCACCAUUUUAUAUUAUUGGAGAAUUUGGAGACAGAUUUGUCCCCGUUGUCAAUUACGGAAUUCAUACAAAAACAAACUUCUAUCAGGCCACUAGCAUAUGUUUUUCCAAGUUUGUCAUCAGAGACAUUUGCAAAGGGUUUAAUUGGAUUGGAUUGUGAAAAGAAGCAUAAGAACGUAUAUCAGUUUUUAGAUAAUCCCGAUCACUUUAUAAUGUCUACAAAAGGAAGGCCAUGGGUUAUCAGUGAAAAAUCAUUAAGGCAUGGAACUUUUAGAACAAAAUUUGAGAGUUUGAUAAAAUAUCAGGUCUCCAAUAGUAGGUGUGGGUCAUGUGAACUUCAAGCUUUCGGACCAUGCCCGGUGCUCCAUCAUAUGCAUAAAAUUCAGAAUAAAAUCAUUGAUGAUGAGUUAAAGAUAGUUCAUUCAGGAACUGAAGAGUACAGGACAGCUACAUGUCUAAGGGAUUUAUACAAGGAGUUUGUGGAUCAUCAAAAGCGACUUCAUUGGAGGUUAACUUUGGAGGAAAGGGAGAUAUUGCAGUUGAAAGAUUAAACAUUGGCUCUAGUGAAUAUGUCAACACAUGAAGUGUAUCAAUACAGUGGUGGGAGGUCAAUGAUGGAAAUGAGUCGAGAAGUUCAGCUCAUUUACCUUGAACAGAAAGCCUUUCAUAUAGUCCUUGUAGGUUGGGUCCCUGAGCUUCUUAUAUGAAGGCGAUCAGUUUUGUUUUGAAUUUUAGCUACGGUAUAUGGCUAUCUAAUGAAGGCAGCUGCUGAUAUUAGCAAAAGUGAAAUUACACAGAAGUCCUGAAUCACUCUGCAUAUUUGCCCUUCUGUAUUAGUCUAUGACUCUUCACACAUCCCUCAUAACCACACUCUUUCACCUAGUCUGCGUCUCUCUAAAAGAUAUCCAUGUUUUUUCUUCCACUUCAAGUUCCCUAAAAUCACCCACUACAACUUCAUAUCCCCUUAUAUAUCUCCACAUAUAUAUAUAUGUGUGUGUGUGUGUGUGUGUGUGUGUGUGUGAGUACGUCUCAUAGAUUUCAGAACUUGUCUGGGUUUUUCUUUCACAGUGAGCACCAAACUUGGUCGGUGGUCUCUCAAAUGGCGCAAGCUUUGAGUUUCAAAGGCUACAAGUUCGUCUAUCUUGAUUUCUUUAAUUUGAUAUUUGAUCUCAAUUUUUCUUUUCGAUUUGUUGAAGUUAAUCAAAGUGCAUACCAUCUAUUUGGAGACAAUUACGACGUAGAGGGAGGGACUCGAAAAAUCACAUUGUUGUUCAUCAAGGGGAUACUUCAGCUCACCAAUAUUUUUAUUGACAAAGUAUAACGAGCUUCAAUCGGUGCCAUUCGCUGAGGAUAUUUCCGUUGAUCCCCAUCGGCGGGGCGGAACAAAACGGAUUUAUGAUUGGAAGUUUUGAAGAUUCUUAUGUCAAAUAACCUUAGGAUAAUUGUGGAGCGCUAAUAUCAGCAGCCCUAAAGAAAGAGAUAUGAUAUAUUUGCGAGUACAUUGUGCACUUGGUAUUUCUGCAUAUUUUGUUGGUCGAUUUUACACUUGCUAAUUUUUUUUUGGAUAUACUGCUACUUUACAAAUAUAAAGAUGCAGAAUGGAAAUUAUCCAAUAAAGAAGCAUCUAAUUUUGCUUGGAUACAUAGCUAUAGGUUUUAUAUUAUUGUCCUUUGAGCAUGUUAACAUCGUUAAUAUUACUAUUAAUGCCCUUGUUUUCUCUGUGUUUAUAGAUUGACCAGCAGGAUGUUCUCUUUAGUUUGCAAUCAUUCAGGGACGGAGCUCCGAAAUUCCGAAUAUUGGCUUACUUGGGGGGCAACAGGAGUGCAUUUUGCAGCUUAAUACUGUGGUUUCAAUGUUAUAGCUAGUUAGCAUGACAUGUUGCCGCUUGUAUGAUAUGAGAACAUGAGUGGGUUGUGUUUUGUUUUGUAGUUUGUGGAUGGUACCCUAUAUUCACUUAACCAGAAAUUUCAUCAAUGCUAGCAAACAUACAAUUUUCCUCGUCUC